AUAUCCACGCGAAUUCUCUUAUUGCAGGAGGUCGCAAGAUCGCGCACGAUCCGCGGGAACUUGUUCCAUACAUUAGCAAUGGGCUGCAUGCGCGUUUUCAUGAUGCCCUCUUGCAGCUUGCUCGUGACCAGGUUGAGAUGCUGCGAAGUUGCAAAGAAAGCGCUGUCUUCCUGGCCGGCAGCAAAUUGCAUGAUUUGGUUGCGGGCUAGGACCAGCUCGCCAACGAGAUUCAUAAGCCUGUCGAGCACUCCGACAUCCAUUCGCACAGUGCUGUCGGAAACAGCGGCUUUCGCCUCGCUUUGAGACUGAAUCGUCUGCAGCACCGUGACCGGGUUAACGGCUCCUUGUUGCACGAGAAUUUCGCCGAGCCG
rnacentral:misc_RNA from 1 species